GAUGGAUCGAAAAAAUUCCUCGACAUUUUUCAGAGGCUAUACUUUCGGCCUACGGAUCCACGUUCGACUAAAGGGGGCAAACGUCUAACGGUGUACAAUUUUAGAAUCUAGAGACGAAAGCGCAUCGGUUGAUCGAACGAAUAACGCGGAGAGGCGCGGGUGGAAAAUCGUACGGAUUACAUUGUGGGAAAAACUUUCUAUUUCACACGUUUCACCGCACGUGUUAUAGGUGUGUUUUUUUUUUCCCCCCUUUUUCUUUUACGUGUUGGUUAAUUACAUUCACGUAUAUUGACGCCACCCACGUUCACUAAAACUGCAUGUUGUUACUGCACCAUGUGCAGUGGUAUUUUAUGCGUACAGAACUGUGAGACUGUACUUUCGAAUGCAACACUUGCACUUGCACUGCAAUGAAACUCGGCGCAUACAAACGAACGAUAUGAAUUUAAUUGAACACGUUCUCUAAUCUGUUGGAUUUGUAUCGAUUGUAACUUGCACGUUUGUAAAUAAAGUUUGAACACCACGAUCAAUUUUGACUCGUUGGAAAAUUUACCUCGCGAAGAAUACACACUGUACGAUCUUCACGCUACGGCGACUUAUCC
rnacentral:misc_RNA from 1 species